GACGAACGCUGGCGGCGUGCUUAACACAUGCAAGUCGAACGGAAAGGCCCUGCUUUUGUGGGGUGCUCGAGUGGCGAACGGGUGAGUAACACGUGAGUAACCUGCCCUUGACUUUGGGAUAACUUCAGGAAACUGGGGCUAAUACCGGAUAGGAGCUCCUGCUGCAUGGUGGGGGUUGGAAAGUUUCGGCGGUUGGGGAUGGACUCGCGGCUUAUCAGCUUGUUGGUGGGGUAGUGGCUUACCAAGGCUUUGACGGGUAGCCGGCCUGAGAGGGUGACCGGCCACAUUGCGACUGAGAUACGGCCCAGACUCCUACGGGAGGCAGUAGUGGGGAAUAUUGCACAAUGGUCGGAAGCCUGAUGCAGCAACGCCGCGUGCGGGAUGACGGCCUUCGGGUUGUAAACCGCUUUCGCCUGUGACGAAGCGUGAGUGACGGUAAUGGGUAAAGAAGCACCGGCUAACUACGUG
rnacentral:rRNA from 1 species